CCCUUAGAUGUUCUGGGCCGCACGCGUGCUACACUGAGUGGAUCAGCGGGUCAGGUUGCGCGAAAGUGUUUCCUAAUCUUAAAAUCCGCUCGUGAUGGGGAUUGACGGUUGCAAUUUUCCGUCAUGAACGAGGAAUACCUUGUAAGCGCGGGUCAUCAUCCCGCGCUGAAUACGUCCCUGCCCUUUGUACACACCGCCCGUCGCUCCUACCGAUUGAGUGGUCCGGUGAGGCUUUGGGAUCUGAGCGGAAAGAGCGUUUCGCUGUUUCUGCUCGGAAAACUCAGUCGAACCUUAUCAUUUAGAGGAAGGAGAAGUCGUAACA
rnacentral:rRNA from 1 species